rnacentral:tRNA from 1 species
GCCCUUGUAGCUCAAUGGCAAGAGCCUUGGUGUGCCGGUUCAAGUCCGGUCAAGGGCA